GACGAACGCUGGCGGCGCGCCUAACACAUGCAAGUCGAACGAGCGAGAGAGAGCUUGCUUUCUCGAGCGAGUGGCGAACGGGUGAGUAACGCGUGAGGAACCUGCCUCAAAGAGGGGGACAACAGUUGGAAACGACUGCUAAUACCGCAUAAGCCCACAGGUCGGCAUCGACCAGAGGGAAAAGGAGCAAUCCGCUUUGAGAUGGCCUCGCGUCCGAUUAGCUAGUUGGUGAGGUAACGGCCCACCAAGGCGACGAUCGGUAGCCGGACUGAGAGGUUGAACGGCCACAUUGGGACUGAGACACGGUCCAA
rnacentral:rRNA from 1 species